rnacentral:lncRNA from 1 species
CGAAUAACAAAUGGUAUUGCCCUAAUUGAAUGAUGGACCAGUCCAAUUUAGCUGGACAGCACAUGCAGAUCAGAGGUUCACACCCUGAAAGAGAUGAAGAACUUUGCCAUGGACUGCAGUCCGCACUGAUAUGAACAGACAGACAGUUGGCUUCUGUUGAGUAUUUGUCCUUAUGGAUUAUCUGACAUACACUUUGACUGGAGACAGAAAUAGUGCUGUAAAGAGACAUUCUGUAUCCAUGGCAACAAUGGUCAGAUUCAGCUGCAGAGAUCUCUCCUUAACAACGUGCGGAGUGAAUGUUAAUGAUAAUGGUUACCACACCAAGUAAUAUUGCAGCAGUCAAUGUUAACAUCUUUAUCACAUGUGACCUUGCUAUGCCAUGUGUUUACCAGUAACGCAUGAUGGUGACGAUCGAGGAUGAAGAAAUCAAUAACAGUAUCAUCAAGGUUACUGCUAUACGACACAGACGUAUUGUGAGCUGUAAUGCAGGACUAACACCUGGUGUCCAUACUGUCAAAUAUGCAGAAAUAAGAAUGAAAUGGAGACAACAAUGUCAAGUUAAAU